AGAUCAUUUUAAAUAAAAAAGUCAGGUCAAGGUGUAGCAAAUGGGGUGGAAAGAAAUGGGCUACAUUUUCUAUUAUAGAAUAUACAGAAUGCUUUAUGAAAUAUGGUAUGAAGGAGGAUUUAGAAGUAAAAGGAAAAAAGAGUGUUCCUUUUAAAUCGGCAAUAGAACGCGCACACACCGCCCGUCACCCUCCUUAUAUAUCAAAAAAUUAAAUAAAUA
rnacentral:misc_RNA from 1 species